UACGUAGGGGGCAAGCGUUGUCCGGAUUUAUUGGGCGUAAAGAGCGUGUAGGCGGCCAAGUAAGUCUGCUGUGAAAACUCGAGGCUUAACCUCGAGCUGUCGGCGGAAACUAUUUGGCUAGAGUCCGGAAGAGGAGAAUGGAAUUCCUGGUGUAGCGGUGAAAUGCGCAGAUAUCGGGAAGAACACCCGUGGCGAAGGCGGUUCUCUGGGACGGUACUGACGCUGAGACGCGAAAGCGUGGGGAGCGAACAGG
rnacentral:rRNA from 1 species